GGCCCGGUGGUCAAGCGGUCAAGACACCGCCCUUUCACGGCGGUAACACGAGUUCAAAUCUCGUCCGGGUCA
rnacentral:tRNA from 1 species